rnacentral:lncRNA from 1 species
UAACUAGCGGGUGUGUGUGCAGAGGGAUCUAGAAAAGUCUCUCGCUUUAAGAUGAUACAGUCUGCAAAGAGAGAAAACACAAAGACCUCACAAACAAACCAAUGAAUCAUGCCAGGCCGUGAUAAAGACUCUCCGAGGACACAGUUACCCAGCGAUGACGUCACAGAAAAGGCAAGAGGGCCUGACAGGGAUCUCAGAGGACAAACAGAGUCUCACCAGACCCGACGGAACCGUUCCAGGUGGAUGAAGGGUGUGAUCGGAGCGGCCUUAGUGGAGUCUGUGGAAACUGGGAAAUAGUGGGCCUUAAGCUGGGAAUGUGGAUUCAGGCCAGAAUGUGGAAGGAAACUAAGGCGCUUGGACUUCAUCCUAGUGGAAGAACUGCAAUCCAGUGACUAAGCAGCUAUGACAGAAUGUGUGUAUUUUGGGACGUGUUUCUACAUAUCAACAGCAAGGGAAGUGCAUUCUUCUAGCAAAAGGAACCCACUAGAAGAUGCAUGACCAUCCUUUAGUGCGUUCCCAGUACUGAUGGCAUGUGGCCACUUGGAAUCCCACCAACCCAGAUGC